rnacentral:ncRNA from 1 species
GCCACGCCGCGAGGCGGAGCGAAUCCCAAAAGCCGGUCUCAGUUCGGAUCGCAGUCUGCAACUCGACUGCGUGAAGGCGGAGUUGCUAGUAACCGCGUAUCAGCCAUGGCGCGGUGAAUACGUUCCCGGGUCUUGUACACACCGCCCGUCACGUCAUGGGAGUCGGCAACACCUGAAGUCGGUAGCCUAACCCGCAAGGGAGGGCGCCGCCGAGGGUGGGGCCGGCGACUGGGACGAAGUCGUAACAAGGUAGCCGUACCGGAAGGUGCGGCUGGAUCACCUCCUUU